AGUAAAGAGCGAAAGGGCACAUGGUGGAUGCCUUGGCACUGUAUGGCGAAGAAGGACGCGGUUAACUGCGAAAAUUUUCGGGGAGCUGUAAGCGAGCUUAGAUCCGGGAGUAUCCGAAUGGGGCAACCCGUAUCAGAUCAUACUGAUACAUUCCGCACCUAUUUUGUUUCUUAGUUUUAGACAUAACAUAAUAAUUUAAGACAAGGGGACAAAAUAGGUGCGGGAGGCAAACGCGCUGAACUGAAACAUCUAAGUAGGCGCAGGAAGAGAAAGUAAGAACGAUUUUCUUAGUAGCGGCGAGCGAACGGGAAAGAGCCUAAACCAGACAUAAGUUUGGGGUAGUGGGACUCAGUUAUCUGAGGUUAUUCUAUAGACGAACGAUACUGGAAAGUAUGUCCGUAGAGGGUGAUAGGCCCGUAGUCGAAAUGGAAUAAUAUUGGUAUGAGUAUCCCGAGUAGGCCGGGACACGAGAAAUCCUGGUUGAAUCAGCGUGGACCAUCACGUAAGGCUAAAUACAUACAGUGACCGAUAGAGAAUUAGUACCGUGAGGGAAAGGUGAAAAGCACCCCGGGAGGGGAGUGAAAUAGAACCUGAAACCGUGUGCUUACAAUCAGUCGGAGCCUGACCAUUAAAUUAUUUUAAGGAGACAACAUCAGUACAAGAGGAAGUAACUGGGAGUUAGUAUAUUACGAAGCAUAUUUAAGUGAGAGUUUUGCACGAGAACGCGAGGUUAGAUUAAAGCGUAAUAGACGGAUGAAGCAGUUUUUACUAGCGCGAGUACGAGCGAGUAUAAAGUAAUUUAGUGGUCAGGUGACGGCGUGCCUUUUGCAUAAUGAGCCGGUGAGUUAAUUUUAUCAGCGAGGUUAAGUGAUAUAGUCAUGUAGCCUUAGCGAAAGCGAGUCUUAAUAGGGCGUAAAGUUGAUAGUAUUAGACCCGAAGCCUAGUGAUCUACCCAUGUCCAGGCUGAAGUUACGGUAACACGUAAUGGAGGGCCGCACCAACCGAUGUUAAAAAAUCGGUGGAUGAGGUGUGGGUAGGGGUGAAAGGCCAAUCAAACUAGGAGAUAUCUGGUUCUCUCCGAAAACUGUUUAGGCAGUGCCUUAAACGAGAGUUAUGGAGGUAGAGCACUGAAUGGGCUAGGGGGCAUACCAGCUUACUGAACCCAACCAAACUCCGAAUGCCAUAACUUGCUGUUUAGGAGACAGCGUGCGGGGGAUAAGCUUCGUACGCGAGAGGGGAACAACCCAGACCGACGGCUAAGGUCCCAAAUUGUAUGCUUAGUGAGGAAGGAUGUGUGAUUGCCAAGACAGCCAGGAUGUUGGCUUAGAAGCAGCCAU
rnacentral:ncRNA from 1 species